rnacentral:rRNA from 1 species
CAGUAGCCACGGUAAAACGUAUGGUGCAAGCGUUAAUCGGAAUUACUGGGCGUAAAGCGUGCGCAGGCGGUUAUAUAAGACAGAUGUGAAAUCCCCGGGCUCAACCUGGGAACUGCAUUUGUGACUGUAUAGCUAGAGUACGGCAGAGGGGGAUGGAAUUCCGCGUGUAGCAGUGAAAUGCGUAGAUAUGCGGAGGAACACCGAUGGCGAAGGCAAUCCCCUGGGCCUGUACUGACGCUCAUGCACGAAAUCGUGGGGAGCAAACAGGAUUAGAUACCCCGGUAGUCCCUGUCUCUUAUAC